CUGCCUGUGUUGUCUCAGUCAUAUCCAUCCAGAAUGAAGGAGCUCCAGUGCUUUAUCCAUGUUUGCAAAAUUGUAGAGUGGACUUUUUGCUUGAAUCUUAGCUGGGAGUGCCAAAUUGCAUGGGUCUCCUUCAGAAGAAGUUAUUAGAAAAUUUUCAAGAUCAGCUUUCCUGCACCAUUUCCACUGCACCAAGCCAGAACAGAGCCAUGAAAGGGUGUUAACAUUUUCAUACUGGGUAGAAAACUUUUAAUCAAAAUUUUUUGCAAUAAAUCAUAAAUAUAAGAUCUUCUUUUAUAAACAGGUUCAAGAAGGUCUGAGAGGUAAAACUCUGGCUGGUCAUUAAAGCAGCACACCACCAGCAUUGAUUAAGUGGAACACCAUCCCUUGACUCUUUCUUGGCAGAAACCUCAGUUUCUAUUCUGGUCCUUGAUAAAGGAAUUGCUCAGCUGCAGAACUGGAAUGAAACAUGGGGCAGACAGUAAAGCAUGUCUUCUCUGACUUGAACAUGGUCAGAACUGAGUCCCAGCAUCCCAGCUGACAACUUACCAAGCACCUCAUAUAUCUUUUUAUAUGUCCCAGUGUGGAAUUUAUCUUCCUCACAAAAGAAUGGUGUUGUGACUCCAAAUCUCCUCUUCAUCAUUAAAAACUUUUCACAGUUCUAGCAUAAGUAAUGGAACCAAACUUCUUCACAUGGUUUUAAUUUCAUAUUUUUUCCUUAGUAUUUUUCUUACUGAUAGUCAUGCAAGUUCUCUUCAGCUAAUUUGGAAUUAUAACAAAUGAGUAGGGGUUCAAAGUAUGCUUAUAAUUACAAGGAAUAGAUUUUCUUUCCCAAAAUGUUGCCUAUCAUCAACUAACCUUGUUUCUGAAUUACUGCUGCAAUAAAGACCAUCUUUGAAAAAAAUGGAUACCAUCAGAAAAAGACAAUUACAUAAAUCCAAAAUAUGAGUUAAGCUGAUAAGGGAUGUAACACAUUAGUAUAUUGGAGAGAUUUGUAAUCAUACAUAACUCUAUUGGCAAAACACACCUACAUACUGAAGAGUGUAAAUCCCCUUUUGUAUAUCACCUAAUAUAGAGCUUUAUUUUGAUAUAGGAGAACAGAUCAAUACAUUUCCUUUGAAAUUAAAAAUAUUUGUAAAACAAUUAAAAUUUUGG